ensembl:lncRNA novel transcript
CCCCGUUGUCCACAUGGCUGGGCCCUGCAUGGGAGGAAAGAGGGGGCAUGAAGACAAACAGCGAGGAAAUUGGGGUUUCGGAGGGCAGGCCUGCCCAGAAUGCAUUCCUAUAAAUUCUGAAGGAAGAGGGUGGGAGAGACCCACCAUUCUGCUUUACAUAUGCAAGGAAUACGUGAGGAGCCUGAAUUCCUAGGAAAGGUGAGACAUCGGGGCAGAUACCGGCCCAUUCGCCAUGCUCCUUUCUCGCUGUGGGUGAAGAGAAGACGGUGAUGGACACUCUGGCUUCCGCUGCAGGAGCUCCACAGCCAGGGAACCCCUCUGCUCCCUUCGCCGUGUGAAAUCGCAUCUAGCUCCUCCACCGCAGAGGCACCGGGGCAGCACUGGAAACACAGCCCGAGGUUCUAGGAGCAGUCAGUGCAGAUAGGAGCAGCACAGCAAUGACACCACACCCACAAAACCGGGCAAACAUAAUGAAUAAGAGAACUAAAAGUGAACGCGGCAGCAGCUUUACAUCUCAGUGCCAAUUUGAGAUUGGUAUUGCCAUCGAGAGUCAGCAGCCUCGCCCGGACGCUCCGCCGUGCCCACUGUGCUAUGAAACCGCCUGAGUCAUCGCUUUCCUCCCUGCCAUUUUACGUAAUAGUUAUUUCAAAUAUCCUCCAGCAUCCUCACACCACCACAGGGUUCCCUGCCUCGGGAAACAGAAAAAACACAGAAGCCACAUGCAAAUUUCUUUUACAUUUUAUAUUAAAGCCUAAAAAGUUA